GGUGAUGGUUUCUGGUAAUUAUGUUCGUCUCGUGUUUAUUCAAUAACAGGAGGUUAUGUGUUUGAUUUUACUUUCAGUAUUCUUAAUUAUGGGGAAAAACUCGAGAAAAACGCCGAGAAUACUUUUAGCUAUUACAUUUACCCAGGGUUUAACGGUUUCGAUUAUAUUCUAUGAUGUUUAUUCAGUGAAAAAUAAUCUUAGAGGCCGG